CUGAAGGAACGUUGAAGACGACGACGUUGAUAGGCCGGGUGUGUAAGCGCAGCGAUGCGUUGAGCUAACCGGUACUAAUGAACCGUGAGGCUUAACCUUAC
rnacentral:rRNA from 1 species